AUUGAACGCUGGCGGCAUGCCUUACACAUGCAAGUCGAACGGCAGCACGGGGGCAACCCUGGUGGCGAGUGGCGAACGGGUGAGUAAUGCAUCGGAACAUGCCCAGUAGUGGGGGAUAACCAGUCGAAAGACUGGCUAAUACCGCAUACGACCCAAGGGUGAAAGCGGGGGACCGUAAGGCCUCGCGCUAUUGGAGCGGCCGAUGUCUGAUUAGCUAGUUGGCGGGGUAAGAGCCCACCAAGGCGACGAUCAGUAGCUGGUCUGAGAGGACGACCAGCCACACUGGGACUGAGACACGGCCCAGACUCCUACGGGAGGCAGCAGUGGGGAAUUUUGGACAAUGGGCGCAAGCCUGAUCCAGCCAUGCCGCGUGCGGGAAGAAGGCCUUCGGGUUGUAAACCGCUUUUGGCAGGAACGAAACGGCGCAGGCCAAUACCUUGCGCUAAUGACGGUACCUGCAGAAUAAGCACCGGCUAACUACGUGCCAGCAGCCGCAGUAACAC
rnacentral:rRNA from 1 species